GAGAGGUGUGAUGAUGCUUAAACCCAUUCCAUUCUGGAGGAUAAAUGGAUGAAGACACAUCUAAACAUGCACUACCAUCUGAUCUCUC